rnacentral:rRNA from 1 species
CCUACGGGAGGCAGCAGUGGGGAAUAUUGCACAAUGGGGGAAACCCUGAUGCAGCGAAGCCGCGUGAGUGAAGAAGUAAUUCGUUAUGUAAAGCUCUAUCAGCAGGGAAGAAAAUGACGGUACCUGAGUAAGAAGCCCCGGCUAACUACGUGCAAGCAGCCGCGGUAAUACGUAGGGGGCAAGCGUUAUACGGAUUUACUGGGUGUAAAGGGAGCGUAGACGGCAGUGCAAGUCUGGAGUGAAAGGCGGGGGCUCAACCCCCGGACUGCUUUUGAAACUGUACGUCUUGAGUGCAGGAGAGGUAAGUGGAAUUCCUAGUGUAGCGGUGAAAUGCGUAGAUAUUAGGAAGAACACCAGUUGCGAAGGCGGCUUACUGGACUGUAACUGACGUUGAGGCUCGAAAGCGUGGGGAGCAAACAGGAUUAGAUACCCCGGUAGUC